AAUGAACGCUGGCGGCAGGCCUAACACAUGCAAGUCGAACGGAUCCUUCGGGAUUAGUGGCGGACGGGUGAGUAACGCGUGGGAACAUACCCUUUGGUACGGAAUAGCCUCGGGAAACUGGGAGUAAUACCGUAUGUGGUCGAGAGACGAAAGAUUUAUCGCCAAAGGAUUGGCCCGCGCUGGAUUAGGUAGUUGGGGGGGUAAUGGCCUACCAAGCCGACGAUCCAUAGCUGGUUUGAGAGGAUGAUCAGCCACACUGGGACUGAGACACGGCCCAGACUCCUACGGGAGGCAGCAGUGGGGAAUCUUAGACAAUGGGGGAAACCCUGAUCUAGCCAUGCCGCGUGAUCGAUGAAGGCCUUAGGGUUGUAAGGACCUUUCAGGUGGGAAGAUAAUGACUGUACCACCAGAAGAAGCCCCGGCUAACUCCGUGCCAGCAGCCGCCGUAA
rnacentral:rRNA from 1 species